rnacentral:rRNA from 1 species
GGUUAAGCACUUAAGGUGUGGAGCCGUAGCGAAAGCGAGUUUUAACUGAGCGUUCAGUUACUUGACGUAGACCCGAAACCGGGCGACCUACCCAUGAGCAGGCUGAAGCGAAAGUAAAAUUUCGUGGAGGUCCGAACCCACGAGCGUUGAAAAGCUCGGGGAUGACUUGUGGGUAGCGGUGAAAUUCCAAUCGAGCCCGGAGAUAGCUGGUUCUCCCCGAAAUAGCUUUAGGGCUAGCCUCAAGGUGAGAGAUACGGAGGUAGAGCACUGAAUGUCCUAGGGGGUAUUGCACCUACCGAAGACUAUCAAACUCCGAAUGCCGUCAUCUUAUACUUGGGAGUCAGACUGUGGGUGAUAAGAUUCAUAGUCGAAAGGGCAACAGCCCAGAUCGUCAGCUAAGGUCCCUAAAUGUAAGUUAAGUGGUAAAGGAUGUGGGAUUGCACAGACAACCAGGAUGUUGGCUUAGAAGCAGCCACUCAUUCAAAGAGUGCGUAAUAGCUCACUGGUCGAGUGAUCCUGCGCCGAAGAUUUCCGGGGCUAAAACUUACUACCGAAGCUACGGCAUCAGUAAUGAUGGGUAGGGGAGCUUCCCAUACGGGUUGAAGCAUGACCGUAAGGACAUGUGGACAGUAUGGGAGUGAGAAUGUUGGCAUGAGUAGCGAGAUGUGGGUG